UCUGGUGCUGCUGCUCGGCCCCGCCGGAGGCGCCAUGUCCCUGCGGGAAUUAGCUGUGCUUGGGUGUUAAUAAAACAAAAAAGUGUAUUCUCUAAGGCUGACAGUGUUGUGCUCAAGCUACUCUGGGUUUGUUUUCUUUUUUUUUUUUUUUUUCUAAACCUGUGGUGAGAUCCUGGUUCAGAAGAGCAAGAAUCAGCUGAACCGCAAAACUCCAGCCCAUCAUUCUGUCAGUGUUGAUCCGCCUGCCCUCAGGCGUUGGUGUCCUGCCGCGUUUGUGAAAAGAGUCACGGAGUGCAUAUGAGUCAUCCUGUUAACAGCGUGAGUUUGCAGACAGCAAAAUCAUAGUACUCAAAGGCUCUGAUUUGCCUCCCAAGUAGGAACCAGGACAGUCUCAAAGCAGAUUUUUACUCUGAGAAUGUCUGCUGAAAAAGUGACAUCACAGCUCUUAUUCUUCAAGGGAAACAGAGGCUUCAUCAGAGAACAGUGAUGAAACCCACAAAUGAAUUCAUCUGUGCCUUACCUUGUAUCCGACUGGAGAAGUGAUGACCCAGAAACAUGCUCGGUUUUUGGGGUAUUUACUGGGGUAGUUUGGAGAGGUGAUGACUCCCUUUGAAUCUCUGAAAGUGGCUCCACAAUUCACUGAGGAGUAAAGGAGAGAACCAGAUAUAUUAACAAGAGCGUUUUGUCAGUAGAAAUGAGCUUGCUUACACCCUACUCUAUUAUUUCUUCAAACCAAGAAAAAAUGUGCUACCAUGAAAAUCUGCUGCUGAAGUACUUUAUUUCUUCACUUAGUAUUUGUAUCAGCAGCUGUACCGAAGGAACUAGAAACGUGUCUGAUAAAGAAUCUUUGGAGGACAGGGAACAGCUGCAUCUAAAGCUGUAUCUGACUUUCCAAUCGACUGUUAUGUAUUAGCAUAGCAUUCUCAUGGCACUAACUGCCCUUCAGAAAAGAACCAGCUCAAGCAUUCAAGAUUGCAAUAUCAAGCUAGAUCUAGUGCUUUCUAGAAAUUAUUCAACUGAAUAAAGCAAAAAGAGUAAAAAUAACACAUUUCUAAGACUUCUUCAAUUUAUACUUUAAAGAAGUUUGGAUUUUCAGUUGAAAUAAGGCAAUUUUGGGCUACUGCCUUCUUGCUGAAAGCAUGUCCCAGCACAACAGAAUUUGGUCUGGCAGUCCAUAAUGCAUUUGUGUGUUUGCAAAAAAGACACCCCUCAAGCGAUUACAGGAAGCACUGUGUUUCGUGUACAUAAUAAAAGCUUUUAAUUCAGAAAGUGUAAGGUACCCAAGGUCAGUACCUCUCCCACUGCAUAAAAUCCCACAAAACCUUAAAUAACAUCUUGCCAAGAUACUGGCUUUGCAUCUCAUUGGGUGAGGUCUCUUGUUGAGUUCUGCAGUCUUUGUGCUCUUUGGCUGCACUGCUCCUAUUAAUUUCAGUCAUUGCAUUGUUUUUAUUUAAAGACAUUUUUCUGGAGAUAUGAAGAAGUCUAACAAGCUCUCAGAAGAAUGUGAGCGGGAUCUCAGGAUUACUAACACGAGGCCCGUGCAACAUCCCACUUUCUGCUUCCUGUGAACUUUCAGACCCAUCAUUGCCUGGCCUUCUGCCUUUCCAAUUGCUGUGAAAGUGUAAAGAAUGACAGUGAAAAGACCCACUCUGUAGGGUAUAGUAAAAAUGUACACUUCUUCCAUACAAAUACUGCUAAUGCUGUUCUCCAAGCUUUGUAAAGGAGUGUUCAUACCCCUGUUGUAGGAGGCUCUGAAUCCUGUGGCUGUAAUGCUCUCAUCGCUUGCAAAUUCUACCAGCACUGUCGAUCCAGAUGCCACUAAGGAGGGCAGUGGGCCCUUCCCACAGUACUUGUCCAGCAAGACAGGGGAGCUCUUGCUGUUCCCGUUGUAAAUUUUUAUAUAGUCAGAAGAACAGUCUGUGGAGUGUUGGAGAUCAAAAGCCUCAAACUGCAGGAAAAUCUUGAGAAACAAAAAAGCAGAUGUUGGGUUUAAGGUUAUACACAGGGAAAGUCUCAAACUAUCUACUUGAAUAUGAAGUGAACCUUCAUAUUCAUUUUACUAUCCAUGUAUUACUGAAACUUUACUUUCUUUAUGAAAAGAGCACAGAAUUUCACCUAGCUAUCCUAGUACUGAGAUCCCAGAGACUGAUGUUUCACUACUGCUUGUGUUUGAAAAGCCAUCCAAUCUGAACUGGAUAAAAAUCGAGUUAAAUAAUCCCUCUAAUAGUCUUAAGUCUUAUGAAAAUUGUUGAGACUUUCAUUCACUGAGUAACAAAAUAAAUGUCUUGGUCCAUGAAACUGACUCCCAGGGGUUACUCAUGGUAACAAAAUAAUGCUUUGUAGCCUGGAUACUGUGGGUCAAACCUUUUUUCUCCUAAUAAAAAUUACCUUACUUCGACGGAUGCGGAUCAACCACAGACAGUUGCUGUUGUUCGGGUAUGGGGAUGGGUAAUUGACAGAGGAGAACGAGCCUUUGGGUUUAGGCAACACAGAGCUACAGCAAUCUGAAGGGAAGAACCAAACAGUGUUGAAGAGAAUGAAAACUGCACAAAAGUAUUCCUGAAAUGCCUGACAGGUCUCUCCAACCAUUUGCAGCAGUCAAGCUUGUAUAAAUUAAUUAUAAUGCUUACAAUUGUUUUGAUGUUCCUUGUGUAAAAGCUAUUGAAAACCUGCAAGUGAAAUAAAGGUAGGUAAAGUA